GAUGAAGAACGUAGCGAAAUGCGACAAGUAAUGUGAAUUGCAGAAUUCAGUGAAUCAUCGAAUCUUUGAACGCACAUUGCGCCCGCUAGUAUUCUGGCGGGCAUGCCUGUCCGAGCGUCAUUUCAACCCUCAAGCCCCCGGGCUUGGUGUUGGGGAUCGGCGAGCCUCCGCGCCCGCCGUCCCCUAAAUCUAGUGGCGGUCUCGCUGUAGCUUCCUCUGCGUAGUAGCACACCUCGCACUGGGAAACAGCGCGGCCACGCCGUUAAACCCCCAACUUCUGAACGUUUGACCUCGGAUCAGGUAGGAAUACCCGCUGAACUUAAGCAUAUCAAUAAGCGGAGGA
rnacentral:misc_RNA from 1 species